rnacentral:lncRNA from 1 species
CUUUGUUAUGUGAUAAUACCAUAGACAUUUCGCCUUCUACAUAAAUCAUAUUUGUCCAGGGCUAUAAGCAAUAAUAUAUAAGCAAUGCUUAUUAUUAGCCUGGAAGAGACUCAAUUUUUUAAAGCAAAUUAUUCAUACUGUGGUGCUGGUGGGUGGAGACUGGCAGUUUGUUUCCAGGAUGCAAUGCGGAUAGCUGUGUGUGUGAUUUCCUGGACUGAUUUCAGCCUUGUUACAAGACAUUUGCAGCAUCCUGCUUUGAUACAUUUGGAAUCUUUACCAGAAACAGCAGCAAUGAUUACAGUGGUUCUGUUCCUCUUCACGUGCAUCGUGGACAUGACCCUUGCGAACAGUUACUUUUAUUAUAAAAAGGAUGGCGAGGAGUCUCCCUGUAAAGGCCUCUGGCAAUGCGACACCAAUUUGGACAAUACUGUGAAUUUUAAUUGUACAGAAGAGUCUGAUGAAUGUAGCUGUAGUGAUUCUAACACAUUUGUUGCAUGUGUUAAUGCUUUCUGCUCAAAUCAUUUAUAUCCGUUCAAACCGUCACCCUGCACUAAAGAUUCCUACAUUUUUGCUCAGGAACAGACAGAUUUGACAGAUGAGCAGCAGAACCCAAAUUCAUUAAAUCCAUCUGAAGGAAAUACAGUUUCUUUAAACUGUACUUUUCAUAUAAAAGAUAACUAUAAAAACCACCAAUAUGUUGUCUACUGGAUAAAGACAGAAAAUGUUGUCAGCACUUGUGUGUAUUCCUAUGAUUUUAAUCCUCAUGAUGGUCUUCAUUAUAACCACCACUGUAAUAUAGAUGCUGAACUGAGUAAGAGGAUAUCAAACAUUUCAUCUGAACCCAGUGCACAGCACAACUUUCACCAUUUGACAAUCAAUGAAAGUCAGUUGUCAGACAGUGGACGGUAUAGAUGUGUUCUAAAUGUUCUGAAAAAAAACAACGACUGGAAGGUGAUCAGUGACAUCACCGUCACAGUGGACAAACGAACAACCACCAGCAAACCAGAUCCUGUGUCCACUUCUGCUGUUCCCUUUUAUGUAACGGCAGCCCUGUUAGUCCUCCUUCUUCUUGUCAUCAUCAGUGUCAUGAUCCUGAAGAAAAAGAGAAUCAAGUCUCGAGAUACCAAAAAUAUUUUGGAGCAAAGUUCCAGAAAUAAAAACCAGGAAGAAACUGACUGUUCCCCAUACGCGGUAGGGUGGGGUCAGGAAACCCCCCAGUCACUGGUGCAACAGCCAAAUGCUGUCAUAAGAACCAACGGACACAACACAAAUAUGACAGAACCCUAUUCUGUUCUCAAGUUCAACUCUAUUUAUCAGUCUUCCGACCACUAACAUGACAGAUGAGGGCGGAUUCAUAUGAGCUCAGUUACUCAACUUCCUUUUGCCCAUUUCAUAGACCCAGUUUACAUUGCUGUUUUGCUGUAGUUGUUAAUUUUUUUCUUUUGUGAACAUUUAAUAUGUCUAUGACACAUUUUCUAGAGAAACACCAAUUCAUUUUAAUUGUCAUACAGAAAGGAUCUUUUUUUUUAUAUAUUUUUGUUGUCCAAAGCACAGUGUCAGUCAGAUUCAAACUGUAAGAUGAGUUUUUUCAACUGUUUUUUUUUUUUUUUUAAAUGACAACACCUAAAAAUCUGUAUUAUAUGUUAGUCUUAAAAAUAACUACAAAUGUCUUCUAACUAGCACUAAUGUUUGUUUCUGAUGCCAGAAUUUAAUUUUGAAUGAACAAACCUGAACUCAAAUUACAAAAGUGUGACUUCUAACCAAGCCCCAGUUUCCUCACUUCAGCCCUUUUUUGUCCAUUUCCAUUUUUUAAAAAUUGCAGCAUCUUGUACUUGCCUCUCUGGCUUUGUUGGCUAAUAUUUCUUCAGGCUUUUCUAUGCUGACACUCUGCCAGAAUUCAUUUUUGUUUUGUUGUCCUGAAAUAAUUUUUUUUACACAAGCAAGUUUGACAAAAGUACUGUUGAAAUAAAAAAGAAAAAAAUGUCA